UACGGGGGGGGGCAAGCGUUGUUCGGAAUUACUGGGCGUAAAGGGCUCGUAGGCGGCCAACUAAGUCAGACGUGAAAUCCCUCGGCUUAACCGGGGAACUGCGUCUGAUACUGGAUGGCUUGAAUCCGGGAGAGGGAUGGCGGAAUUCCAGGUGUAGCGGAUGAAAUGCGUAGAUAUCUGGAGGAACACCGGUGGCGAAGG
rnacentral:rRNA from 1 species